GCCUACAACUACGCUCUAGCUCCUACGCUCUCGACAACGUGCUCAGCCUCAUCGCCUAGUGUUUUAAGUGGCAGUGUUUUUAAGUCCACCCGCCGCGGCAGCAGCACUUAAUCGUUUUGUGCUUUUAACUUUUCAAGUGAUUUUCCUUUUUUAAACUUUAUUUUACAUUAAAAAACUUUUUUAAUCUACCGAUACCGAAUCUAUACCGAUCGGUAGAUUUCUGAAAAAUCUACCGAUCUACCGAUACCGAUUGGACGCGGCUCGCUACCGACUACCGAUACCGGUGGUAGAUUUUUUCUACAGAAUCCCAGCUCUGGAAACAACAUAACA